CAGCUCCAAUAGCGAAUACUAAUUCUGCUGCAGUUAAAAAGCUCGUAGUUGAACUUCUGGUAGGACAGAUCCGGCCUUUGGAUGAAUGUCCAUUGUAUGCUGUGUGUCUUGUCUGGCCAUCCUUUAUGUCUUUUAGGCGUAAUCUUUCACUGUAAAAAAAUUAGGGUGUUUCAAGCAAAAGUUAUUUGGAAUAUAUUAGUAUGGGAUGAUAAGAUAGGCUCUUGAGUGCUACUUUGUUGGUUUAUACACUUAGAGAAUGAUUAACAGGGACAGCUGGGGGUAUUCAUAUUUACAUGUCAGAGGUGAAAUUCUUGGAUUUUGGAAAGAUGAACUACUGCGAAGGCAUUUACCAAGGAUGUUUUCAUUA
rnacentral:rRNA from 1 species